rnacentral:lncRNA from 1 species
UUGUAGUCUACCUUAGGAGAUGGAGAGUAUGAUGGUGGUGGUGGGGAGCUGUAAACAUAUGGUGGUGGAGGAGACUUGUAAUCUACCUUAGGGGAUGGAGAGUAGUAUGGUGGUGGUGGAGAGCUGUAAACAUAGGGUGGUGGAGGAGACUUGUAGUCUACUUUAGGGGCUGGCGAGUAGUAUGGUGGUGGUGGAGAACUGUAAACAUACGGUGGUGGGGGAGACUUGUAGUCAACCUUAGGGGCGGGAGAGUAAUAUGGUGGUGGUGGAGAGCUGUAGACGUAUGGUGCUGGAGGAGACUUGUAGUCUACCUUAGGGGCUGGCGAGUAGUAUGGUGGUGGUGGAGAACUGUAAACAUACGGUGGUGGGGGAGACUUGUAGUCAACCUUAGGGGCUCGUAGAGUAAUAUGGUGGUGGUGGAGAGCUGUAGACGUAUGGUGGAGGAGGAGACUUGUAUACAACCUUAGGGGAUGGAGAAUAGUACGGUGGUGGUGGGGAACUGUAAACAUAUGGUGGUGGAGGAGACUUGUAGUCUACCUUUGGGGAUGGAGAGUAGUAUGGUGGUGGUGGAGAGCUGUAGACGUAUGGUGGAGGAGGAGACUUGUAUACAACCUUAGGGGAUGGAGAGUAGUACGGUGGUGGUGGGGAACUGUAAACAUAUGGUGGUGGAGGAGACUUGUAGUCUACCUUAGGGGAUGGAGAGUAGUAUGGUGGUGGUGGAGAACUAUAGACAUAUGGAGGAGGAGGAGACUUGUAUACAACCUUAGGGGAUGGAGAAUAGUAUGGUGGUGGUGGAGAGCUGUAAACAUACGGUGGUGGAGGAGACUUGUAGUGAACCUUAGGUGUUGGAGAGUAAUAUGGUGGUGGUGGAGAACUGUAAACAUAUGGUGGUGGAGGAGACUUGUAUACAACCUUAGGAGAUGGAGAGUAAUAUGGUGGUGGUGGAGAGUUAUAGACGUAUGGGGGAGGAGAAGACUUGUAUACGACCUUUGGAGAUGGGGAAUAACAUGGAGGAGGUGGUGGACACACACAUACAUGUGGGUGUGGUGGAGAUUUGUAGUGUACUUUAGGAGAAGGUGAGUAGUAUGGAGGUGGUGGAGAACUGUAAACAUAUGGUGGUGGAGGAGAUUUGUAGUGUACUUUAGGUGAAGGUGAAUAAUAUGGUGGUGGUGGAGAACUGUACACAUAUGGUGGUGGAGGAGACUUGUAGGCUACCUUAGGGGAUGGAGAAUAGUAUGGCGGUGGUGGGGAACUGUAAACAUAUGGUGGUGGAGGAGACUUGUAAUCCACCUUAGGCGAUGGAGAGUAGUACGCUGGUGGUGGGGAACUGUAAACAUAUGGGGGAGGAGGAGAUUUGUACACAACCUUAGGGGAUGGAGAGUAGUAUGGUGGUGGUGGGGAGCUGUAAACAUAUGGGGGUGGAGGGGACUUGUAGUAUACUUUAGGAGCUGGAGAGUAGUAUGGUGGUGGUGGAGAACUGUAGACAUAUGGUGGAGGAGGAGACUUGUAGUCAACCUUUGGGGACGGAGAGUAGUACGGUGGUGGUGGGGAACUGUAGACGUACGGUGGUGGAGGAGAUUUGUAGUCGACCUUUGGAGCUGGAGAGUAGUAUGGUGGUGGUGGGGAACUGUAGACAUACGGUGGUGGAGGAGAUUUGUAGUCAACCUUAGGGGCUGGAGAGUAGUAUGGUGGUGGUGGAGAACUGUAAACAUAUGGUGGUGGAGGAGACUUGUAGUCAACCUUAGGGGCUGGAGAGUAGUACGGUGGUGGUGGGGAGCUGUAGACAUAUGGUGUAGGGGGAGAUUUGUAGUCUACUUUUGGUGAUGGAGAGUAGUAUGGUGGUGGUGGAGAACUGUAAACAUAUGGUGGUGGAGGAGACUUGUAGUCAACCUUUGGGGAAGGAGAGUAAUAUGGUGGUGGUGGAGAACUGUA